GAGAUGUGGAGGAANNCCGAUGGCGAAGGCAGCCCCCUGGGCUAACACUGACGCUCAUGCACGAAAGCGUGGGUAGCAAACAGGAUUAGAUACCCUGGUAGUCCACGCCCUAAACGAUGUCAACUAGGUGUUGGGUGGGUAAAACCAUUUAGUACCGUAGCUAACGCGUGAAGUUGACCGCCUGGGGAGUACGGCCGCAAGGUUAAAACUCAAAGGAAUUGACGGGGACCCGCACAAGCGGUGGAUGAUGUGGAUUAAUUCGAUGCAACGCGAAAAACCUUACCUACCCUUGACAUGUCCAGAAGCCCGAAGAGAUUUGGGUGUGCCCGAAAGGGAGCUGGAACACAGGUGCUGCAUGGCUGUCGUCAGCUCGUGUCGUGAGAUGUUGGGUUAAGUCCCGCAACGAGCGCAACCCUUGUCGUUAAUUGCCAUCAUUUAGUUGGGCACUUUAACGAGACUGCCGGUGACAAACCGGAGGAAGGUGGGGAUGACGUCAAGUCCUCAUGGCCCUUAUGGGUAGGGCUUCACACGUCAUACAAUGGUCGGUACAGAGGGUUGCCAAGCCGCGAGGUGGAGCCAAUCCCAGAAAGCCGAUCGUAGUCCGGAUUGCAGGCUGCAACUCGCCUGCAUGAAGUCGGAAUCGCUAGUAAUCGCGGAUCAGCAUGUCGCGGUGAAUACGUUCCCGGGUCUUGUACACACCGCCCGUCACACCAUGGGAGCGGGUUCCGCCAGAAGUAGGUAGCCUAACCGUAAGGGGGGCGAUUACCACGGUAGGAUUCAUGACUGGGGUGAAGUCGUAACAAGGUAACCA
rnacentral:rRNA from 1 species